UUCUCCUUCAUCUUUGUUUCUUACUUGAAAUUUAGGAAUCUUGAUGAUCUGUCUGGCUUUGCAUCAACAACAUCCCCCCCUGAUGCUUUGUCAUCUUCC